UGUUUCGGCUAGGGGGCCAUCCCGGCUUACCAACCCGAUGCAAACUGCGAAUACCGGAGAAUGUUAUCACGGGAGACACACGGCGGGUGCUAACGUCCGUCGUGAAGAGGGAAACAACCCAGACCGCCAGCUAAGGUCCCAAAGUCAUGGUUAAGUGGGAAACGAUGUGGGAAGGCCCAGACAGCCAGGAUGUUGGCUUAGAAGCAGCCAUCAUUUAAAGAAAGCGUAAUAGCUCACUGGUCGAGUCGGCCUGCGCGGAAGAUGUAACGGGGCUAAACCAUGCACCGAAGCUGCGGCAGCGACACUGUGUGUUGUUGGGUAGGGGAGCGUUCUGUAAGCCUGUGAAGGUGGCCUGUGAGGGUUGCUGGAGGUAUCAGAAGUGCGAAUGCUGACAUAAGUAACGAUAAAGCGGGUGAAAAGCCCGCUCGCCGGAAGACCAAGGGUUCCUGUCCAACGUUAAUCGGGGCAGGGUGAGUCGACCCCUAAGGCGAGGCCGAAAGGCGUAGUCGAUGGGAAACGGGUUAAUAUUCCCGUACUUGGUGUUACUGCGAAGGGGGGACGGAGAAGGCUAUGUUGGCCGGGCGACGGUUGUCCCGGUUUAAGCGUGUAGGUGUGUGUUCCAGGUAAAUCCGGUU
rnacentral:rRNA from 1 species